UGUUUCUGAAUUUUUUCAUUAUUUUUAGCAUGGCAAACACUUGAUAAUAUAUUGAAGAAUUAGAGCAACAUCAUUUACCAGAAGUAUUUCUUCUUAUUGAAAGCAAAUUGUCACAAAGUAAACAAUUGAGCACACAUUCAUAAUAGUGAUAAAGGUCUACAAAUAUUUUACAUCCUUUUUCAAAUUUCACCAACAAUGUUUUUGUGUUAAAACUGAAUUGAAGGAAUGAAAUCACUUAGGGAUAAAAGCACGAGUAAUUAAUGAAUAUCCUUAACCAAGGCAAAAUAAUUUCAAUUUGCAUGUCUAAUCAUUUAACGCCAAAAUUUCUACAGCAGUAACAAAUUGAGUAGGUCGCUUAGUACAGCUCGAUCUAUUGCCACUGUAUUAUUGAUAAAACGGGAAAGGGUCAAAAAUAUUCUUAAACUAUAAGAAAUAGCUUAAAUAUAUCCUUGAAGUAUAUUUCGGUUCAAAUAUAUCCUUAUCGUUAAAUUAUAGGGUCAAAAAUACUCUUUUCAUUAACAAAAUCGGUUAAACGCCACUAAGAUGCCAUGUGGAUGUCACAUGGCAUGCCACAUAAGCCAAUAAAGUUUCAUUCAUGCCACGUAGACUAAUAAACUUACUCCUAAUUUUCCUCAAUUUUCUCCAUUUUCUAUAGAAUUUAGAAACGAUUUCACUGAAAAAUAUAAAACCCCUUUUCCUCAUUUCUCCAUGUUCUUAGAAUGAUUUCACAAAAUACAUAAGUUCUAAGAGAAAGGGGUUCUAUGUUCUUCAGUGAAAUCAUUUCUAAAUUCUAAAGGAAAUACAAAAAAUUAGGGAAAAGUUUAUUUUCUACAUGUAUUGGAGAUAAUACAGAAUUAAAGGAAUAAUUAUAUAUGUUGAUUAGUUAGUUAGUUAGGAGUUAGUUAAUUUGUUAAUGAGUUAGUUGGGUUAGUUAGGAGUUAGUCAAUACAUUCCACAUGUAUAUAUAGUACCAUACUUCAUCUUUGUAAGUCAGUUUUUCAUAUAUACAAAUCAGAAAUUUCCCAAACUGAUUUCUCUCUUCUACUCUGUUCAUAUUUGUUCAACAUGGCACGAGUGGAAUUCUAUUGGCUUAUGUGGCAAUGUCAUGUGGUAUUCACAUGGCAUCCAAGUGGCGCUUAACAUAUCCUGUUAAUGUGAAGGAUAUUUUUGAUCCUAUAGUUUGAGGGGAAGGGUAUAUUUAAGCCGAAAUAUAGUUCAAGGAUAUAUUUACGCUAUUUCAAAUAAUUUAAGGGUAUUUUUUAUCCUUCCCCGUUGAUAAAAUAAUAAAGGAUAGUUUGAUGACUUAAUUGUUAUAGCAAGAAAAAUUUAAUAAUUUACUGUCAUAAUAAGUAAAAUUCAAUUACUUUACAUGACAUGAAGAAUUUACCAAUCAUAGUAGAUAUAAUUUGGUAAUUAUAUUUGUAAUUAACCCAAAUAAGUGCAUCAAGGUAACUGAAUUGGCAAACUUAAAGUCCAAUAUAACUACUCAAACCAUUAGCCUAUCUGCCUUCUUUCAAUUUCACUCAGCAGAAACUUCAGUUUUUCUAUAUACACAAACAUCAUGAAGGGAUAUUGGCGUUUUAUACACAAACCAGGUAAUUAAUGGUCUCUGUUUAUUAUUGUUAUUUGAUAUUUUUUGUGAAAAUAGGAAAUAUAUUCCGUCACAAAUAGUAAUGGAAGGAACCUCAAUUUGCUCGUGAUGGAAGAGACAGAUCAAAUUUCCAAUCUGCCAGAGCCAGUUUUGAUCACAUUCUGUAUUUCCUUGACAUCAAAGAUGCUGCGAAAAUGAGUACAUUGUCAAAGGAGGUUAUUGAUCAAAUUAAUUUUAGAAGCUCUUGACACUGAAUGGUACUCCAAGCUCAUAGAGUCUAUUGGUAACUUUGAUAAAUCCAGGGCUAUUACACUUAGUUGUGACUCUGAUAAGGUGAUAGUUAAUACCGAAAGAAAUGAGAGAAAACUUGGUUCCUCCACUAAACAUAUACAUAUAAAAAUUAGGGACAGGACGAAUUAUUCAGUAGUGGACGUUGUUGAUAGUUUACUUUGGAUUUCUCCUCACCUGGACACCUUAUCUGUGGACCAGGGUCGAAGCAUACAGAGCUUGAUCAAGGCAAUAUGCUUAUCUUUCAAAAGCACUGGCUAAGGUUUCUUAUCUCUAAAGUUUUUUUGCAAUUAGUUUCUUUUGAUUCAUUGUUUUAGUAACAUAGCAUCCUUCAUGAUUGGUUCAGUAUCUUUUGUUUAGAGUCCAAUUAUGAGAAGAUUAACCAUAACCUAGGAGAUAAUGGUCAAAAACACAUAGAUACUAGUCGAGAUGUGUUUUUGAUAAAUAGUUGGUAAUAGUUCAGAUAAGAAACACAAACACCUUAUAGUUGAGGUAGGAACUUGCAAAAAGUGACACUCCAGGUGUGUUUCGGACCAUUAUCUCCAAAACAUAACGGUUUGUAAAUCAACUGCUUAUAUGUAUUCUGUCGACUAAAGAAACUUAUAUGAGCAUAUCACGUUUUAUAUAUUAUACCAACAUGCGGUUCAUAUUUAUGAUCGGUUGCCUGUUUUACCUUUGUUCCUGUUGUGGUUUUCUCUGGUUUCUUAGUUUACAUACAGAAAUGCUGCUGAUGAUAAAGAUCGCAAACGUAAUUGGGCAUCUCUAGCGUGGAUAUGUUGGAGUCAUGGGCUGAAGAGAGUUCAAUUGCAAAACUUUACACGUACGGAGCUAGAGAAGUUGAGAAACUAUUUUCUAAAAAUUUCAAAUACUUUGAGCAUAAUUGAAGAUCCACCAGAAUGAAGCCUUUCCACUUCUCUUCAAUAAAUGUACUUGUGAAUAAGUUUAUACAUUAUGUGUUGUUGAGUUUAGCUAAUUUUAUGUUUUGAAUAAUUUUGUUUUGGUGAUUUACUUGUGGGACAUUUGUUUGCAAUGACAUUGAUCUGAUCUGUUUCUAA